rnacentral:rRNA from 1 species
AACGAACGCUGGCGGCAGGCCUAACACAUGCAAGUCGAGCGAAGCCUUCGGGCUUAGCGGCGGACGGGUGAGUAACGCGUGGGAACGUGCCCUUUGGUACGGAAUAGCCCCGGGAAACUGGGAGUAAUACCGUAUGUGGUCGAGAGACGAAAGAUUUAUCGCCAAAGGAUCGGCCCGCGUUGGAUUAGGUAGUUGGUGGGGUAAUGGCCUACCAAGCCGACGAUCCAUAGCUGGUUUGAGAGGAUGAUCAGCCACACUGGGACUGAGACACGGCCCAGACUCCUGCGGGAGGCAGCAGUGGGGAAGCUUAGACAAUGGGGGAAACCCUGAUCUAGCCAUGCCGCGUGAUCGAUGAAGGCCUUAGGGUUGUAAAGAUCUUUCAGUGGGGAAGAUAAUGACUGUACCCACAGAAGAAGCCCGGCUAACUCCGUGCCAGCCGCCGCCGUAAUAC